UUUAAGCAAAUCUGAUAUAAUAAAUAUGUACAUGUCAUUAUCAUAUGAAGUAACACCUUUGUUUGUGUAUUCAUUCAAUGUAUACACAUAGUAGUAGUAGAUACAUAAGACUUGAGCACGUUUUUGCCGUCUCAAGUAUCAAAAACAUUGUAAAUAAUCAAAGCAAGUUUUGUGGACCUUGAUCGACUCGAGGAUAGAUAAGAUAACGUCUCCCUUUCAUACAUUCUGCUCUCUUCUCAACACACACCGAUAGACACGGGAUUCAACUUAAAGCUCCUCUGGAUUUUCAUUUUUAUUAUCUCUUCUUUUCCAUUUUUAGUGUCACUGUUCCUCACCAGAGGGAGGUGUUGGUGGUGGGGGGAAAUCAUUUCUUCUUCUUGGCUUCUUCAUCUUUUGCGGACUUUAACUCGAGAUGCCCCUCUGACUCUUAGAAAAUUCUAAAUUCUCCCAACAAUAAAAUAUAAUUUCUUUUUCAUUUAUUUUUAAAUACAAAACAGCGUUAAAGACAUCUACAACCUUAAUGAAAUCAGAUAAUUACAUAACCCGACCACAGAAACCCGACCACCCAAAUCCAUACGAGUACAACCCGGUUCCCAAACCUAAACGCUGCGUUUUAGACUCAUUUCUCAGGUUUCGUGCCUCUCUCUGUCUCUCCUGUUCUCGGCUUGCGACAUGUUUGAUUUGGAAACACUUCGCUCAAAAUCAUAAGCUAGGGUCCAUCAAAAAGUUGUCAGAUUCGAUUUCGCCGGUGAUUAAAUCCUCUUUCCCCAGAGUACCAUCGAUUUCGCCGGUGAGAAGGGCUUUGAUUUCUCUGUUUAGAUCUUGAUUCUGUAUAUGUCAAGAGAUCAAUGCCUCCAAGUGUUUUGUUAUGACGUUGAUUGAGAACUACCAGAAUCAAGAUGACAUUGAUAGGUUUUUUGAUGUUCUUCAGAACUUCUGUAGGUUUGUGGAUAACAGUGGUGGUGGAUCGGUGGUGGUGGAAGACUGGAAUGAGCAGUGGUAGAGGAGAGAGUGGUGGCAGAGGAAGAGAUAGUGGUACCAUGGUUGUUUUGGUGGUGAUAUAAGGAAGCUGGUAAAUAAUUGGACUUUAUUUUAUAACAUGAUCAAUGAGCAGGUGCAGUUUGGAUUAUAUUACAUGUAUGUUUACACAAUGGAUGAUAGGGUUUGGACGAAAAUGAAGUGUUAAGCUAUGUUUAUGGAGUUUAAUGUCUGAGAGCUACUGCUGCUUUAUUUUGUUCAAUGAGCAUUGAGCAGCUGCUUUAUUUUGUUUAAUGUUGUGUAUAUGUCUUUUUGUAUUAAUAAUCCAGUUCAAUGUUAACUAUGUUUAUGGAGAUUAA